rnacentral:rRNA from 1 species
UAAUGUAUGGGGAUCUGCCCGAUAGAGGGGAAUAACUACUGGAAACGGUGGCUAAUACCGCAUAAUGUCUACGGACCAAAGCAGGGGCUCUUCGGACCUUGCACUAUCGGAUGAACCCAUAUGGGAUUAGCUAGUAGGUGGGGUAAGGGCUCACCUAGGCGACGAUCUCUAGCUGGUCUGAGAGGAUGAUCAGCCACACUGGGACUGAGACACGGCCCAG